rnacentral:rRNA from 1 species
GAUGAACGCUGACGGCGUGCCUAAUACAUGCAAGUCGAGCGAACGGACGAGAAGCUUGCUUCUCUGAUGUUAGCGGCGGACGGGUGAGUAACACGUGGAUAACCUACCUAUAAGACUGGGAUAACUUCGGGAAACCGGAGCUAAUACCGGAUAAUAUUUUGAACCGCAUGGUUCAAAAGUGAAAGACGGUCUUGCUGUCACUUAUAGAUGGAUCCGCGCUGCAUUAGCUAGUUGGUAAGGUAACGGCUUACCAAGGCAACGAUGCAUAGCCGACCUGAGAGGGUGAUCGGCCACACUGGAACUGAGACACGGUCCAGACUCCUACGGGAGGCAGCAGUAGGGAAUCUUCCGCAAUGGGCGAAAGCCUGACGGAGCAACGCCGCGUGAGUGAUGAAGGUCUUCGGAUCGUAAAACUCUGUUAUUAGGGAAGAACAUAUGUGUAAGUAACUGUGCACAUCUUGACGAUACCUAAUCAGAAAGCCACGGCUAACUACGUG